rnacentral:rRNA from 1 species
GAAGAGGGAAACAACCCAGACCGCCAGCUAAGGUCCCAAAGUCAUGGUUAAGUGGGAAACGAUGUGGGAAGGCCCAGACAGCCAGGAUGUUGGCUUAGAAGCAGCCAUCAUUUAAAGAAAGCGUAAUAGCUCACUGGUCGAGUCGGCCUGCGCGGAAGAUGUAACGGGGCUAAACCAUGCACCGAAGCUGCGGCAGCGACGCUGAUGCGUUGUUGGGUAGGGGAGCGUUCUGUAAGCCUGCGAAGGUGUGCUGUGAGGCAUGCUGGAGGUAUCAGAAGUGCGAAUGCUGACAUAAGUAACGAUAAAGCGGGUGAAAAGCCCGCUCGCCGGAAGACCAAGGGUUCCUGUCCAACGUUAAUCGGGGCAGGGUGAGUCGACCCCUAAGGCGAGGCCGAAAGGCGUAGUCGAUGGGAAACAGGUUAAUAUUCCUGUACUUGGUGUUACUGCGAAGGGGGGACGGAGAAGGCUAUGUUGGCCGGGCGACGGUUGUCCCGGUUUAAGCGUGUAGGCUGGU